UUAAGCGACUAAGCGUACACGGUGGAUGCCCUGGCAGUCAGAGGCGAUGAAGGACGUGCUAAUCUGCGAUAAGCGUCGGUAAGGUGAUAUGAACCGUUAUAACCGGCGAUUUCCGAAUGGGGAAACCCAGUGUGUUUCGACACACUAUCAUUAACUGAAUCCAUAGGUUAAUGAGGCGAACCGGGGGAACUGAAACAUCUAAGUACCCCGAGGAAAAGAAAUCAACCGAGAUUCCCCCAGUAGCGGCGAGCGAACGGGGAGCAGCCCAGAGCCUGAAUCAGUGUGUGUGUUAGUGGAAGCGUCUGGAAAGGCGCGCGAUACAGGGUGACAGCCCCGUACACAAAAAUGCACAUACUGUGAGCUCGAUGAGUAGGGCGGGACACGUGGUAUCCUGUCUGAAUAUGGGGGGACCAUCCUCCAAGGCUAAAUACUCCUGACUGACCGAUAGUGAACCAGUACCGUGAGGGAAAGGCGAAAAGAACCCCGGCGAGGGGAGUGAAAAAGAACCUGAAACCGUGUACGUACAAGCAGUGGGAGCACGCUUAGGCGUGUGACUGCGUACCUUUUGUAUAAUGGGUCAGCGACUUAUAUUCUGUAGCAAGGUUAACCGAAUAGGGGAGCCGAAGGGAAACCGAGUCUUAACUGGGCGUUAAGUUGCAGGGUAUAGACCCGAAACCCGGUGAUCUAGCCAUGGGCAGGUUGAAGGUUGGGUAACACUAACUGGAGGACCGAACCGACUAAUGUUGAAAAAUUAGCGGAUGACUUGUGGCUGGGGGUGAAAGGCCAAUCAAACCGGGAGAUAGCUGGUUCUCCCCGAAAGCUAUUUAGGUAGCGCCUCGUGAAUUCAUCUCCGGGGGUAGAGCACUGUUUCGGCAAGGGGGUCAUCCCGACUUACCAACCCGAUGCAAACUGCGAAUACCGGAGAAUGUUAUCACGGGAGACACACGGCGGGUGCUAACGUCCGUCGUGAAGAGGGAAACAACCCAGACCGCCAGCUAAGGUCCCAAAGUCAUGGUUAAGUGGGAAACGAUGUGGGAAGGCCCAGACAGCCAGGAUGUUGGCUUAGAAGCAGCCAUCAUUUAAAGAAAGCGUAAUAGCUCACUGGUCGAGUCGGCCUGCGCGGAAGAUGUAACGGGGCUAAACCAUGCACCGAAGCUGCGGCAGCGACGCUGAUGCGUUGUUGGGUAGGGGAGCGUUCUGUAAGCCUGUGAAGGUGUGCUGUGAGGCAUGCUGGAGGUAUCAGAAGUGCGAAUGCUGACAUAAGUAACGAUAAAGCGGGUGAAAAGCCCGCUCGCCGGAAGACCAAGGGUUCCUGUCCAACGUUAAUCGGGGCAGGGUGAGUCGACCCCUAAGGCGAGGCCGAAAGGCGUAGUCGAUGGGAAACAGGUUAAUAUUCCUGUACUUGGUGUUACUGCGAAGGGGGGACGGAGAAGGCUAUGUUGGCCGGGCGACGGUUGUCCCGGUUUAAGCGUGUAGGCUGGUUUUCCAGGCAAAUCCGGAAAACUAAGGCUGAGGCGUGAUGACGAGGCACUACGGUGCUGAAGCAACAAAUGCCCUGCUUCCAGGAAAAGCCUCUAAGCAUCAGGUAACAUCAAAUCGUACCCCAAACCGACACAGGUGGUCAGGUAGAGAAUACCAAGGCGCUUGAGAGAACUCGGGUGAAGGAACUAGGCAAAAUGGUGCCGUAACUUCGGGAGAAGGCACGCUGAUAUGUAGGUGAAGCGACUUGCUCGUGGAGCUGAAAUCAGUCGAAGAUACCAGCUGGCUGCAACUGUUUAUUAAAAACACAGCACUGUGCAAACACGAAAGUGGACGUAUACGGUGUGACGCCUGCCCGGUGCCGGAAGGUUAAUUGAUGGGGUCAGCGCAAGCGAAGCUCUUGAUCGAAGCCCCGGUAAACGGCGGCCGUAACUAUAACGGUCCUAAGGUAGCGAAAUUCCUUGUCGGGUAAGUUCCGACCUGCACGAAUGGCGUAAUGAUGGCCAGGCUGUCUCCACCCGAGACUCAGUGAAAUUGAACUCGCUGUGAAGAUGCAGUGUACCCGCGGCAAGACGGAAAGACCCCGUGAACCUUUACUAUAGCUUGACACUGAACAUUGAGCCUUGAUGUGUAGGAUAGGUGGGAGGCUUUGAAGUGUGGACGCCAGUCUGCAUGGAGCCGACCUUGAAAUACCACCCUUUAAUGUUUGAUGUUCUAACGUUGACCCGUGAUCCGGGUUGCGGACAGUGUCUGGUGGGUAGUUUGACUGGGGCGGUCUCCUCCUAAAGAGUAACGGAGGAGCACGAAGGUUGGCUAAUCCUGGUCGGACAUCAGGAGGUUAGUGCAAUGGCAUAAGCCAGCUUGACUGCGAGCGUGACGGCGCGAGCAGGUGCGAAAGCAGGUCAUAGUGAUCCGGUGGUUCUGAAUGGAAGGGCCAUCGCUCAACGGAUAAAAGGUACUCCGGGGAUAACAGGCUGAUACCGCCCAAGAGUUCAUAUCGACGGCGGUGUUUGGCACCUCGAUGUCGGCUCAUCACAUCCUGGGGCUGAAGUAGGUCCCAAGGGUAUGGCUGUUCGCCAUUUAAAGUGGUACGCGAGCUGGGUUUAGAACGUCGUGAGACAGUUCGGUCCCUAUCUGCCGUGGGCGCUGGAGAACUGAGGGGGGCUGCUCCUAGUACGAGAGGACCGGAGUGGACGCAUCACUGGUGUUCGGGUUGUCAUGCCAAUGGCACUGCCCGGUAGCUAAAUGCGGAAGAGAUAAGUGCUGAAAGCAUCUAAGCACGAAACUUGCCCCGAGAUGAGUUCUCCCUGACUCCUUGAGAGUCCUGAAGGAACGUUGAAGACGACGACGUUGAUAGGCCGGGUGUGUAAGCGCAGCGAUGCGUUGAGCUAACCGGUACUAAUGAACCGUGAGGCUUAACCU
rnacentral:rRNA from 1 species